rnacentral:rRNA from 1 species
GCCAGACUCCUACGGGAGGCAGCAGUGAGGAAUAUUGGUCAAUGGGCGAGAGCCUGAACCAGCCAAGUCGCGUGAGGGAUGACUGCCCUAUGGGUUGUAAACCUCUUUUGUAUGGGGGGAAUAAGCUUUACGAGUAGAGUGAUGACAGUACCAUACGAAUAAGCAUCGGCUAACUCCGUGUCAGCAGCCGCGGUAAUACGGAGGAUGCGAGCGUUAUCCGGAUUUAUUGGGUUUAAAGGGUGCGUAGGCGGGCUUUUAAGUCAGCGGUAAAAAUUCGGGGCUCAACCCCGUCCGGCCGUUGAAACUGGGGGCCUUGAGUGGGCGAGAAGAAGGCGGAAUGCGUGGUGUAGCGGUGAAAUGCAUAGAUAUCACGCAGAACCCCGAUUGCGAAGGCAGCCUUCCGGCGCCCUACUGACGCUGAGGCACGAAAGUGCGGGGAUCGAACAGGAUUAGAUACCCCCGUAAU